CUUUCUUUGCUGGCGACCGGCGCACGGGUGAGUAACACGUAUUCAACCUGCCCUUUACUCGGGGAUAGCCUUUCGAAAGAAAGAUUAAUACCCGAUAGUAUAAUGAUUCCGCAUGGUUUCAUUAUUAAAGGAUUCCGGUAAAGGAUGGGGAUGCGUUCCAUUAGGUUGUUGGUGAGGUAACGGCUCACCAAGCCUUCGAUGGAUAGGGGUUCUGAGAGGAAGGUCCCCCACAUUGGAACUGAGACACGGUCCAA
rnacentral:rRNA from 1 species